UUUUUUUCUGUUAAUUUAUUUAUAAAUGUCUGGUGAAUCUGCUGGACUCAAUCGAACUUCACCUGCUGGCUAAGGGGGCGGAGACUAUAAAUAGUCUGCUCCCCUGGCAGUUCACCUUUUUCCACUCCCUGCCAGUACUCCACCGUAUCCUGAAGUGUGCGUAUUCCAGUUAACCACACAGAAUAAAGAUCAAGCUAACAAAAAAGGAAAUAAAACUACUGGUGUUACAUCCAA